rnacentral:rRNA from 1 species
UACAGAGGUCUCAAGCGUUGUUCGGAUUCAUUGGGCGUAAAGGGCGCGUAGGCGGCAAGGCAAGUCGGGUGUGAAAGCUUGGGGCUUAACCCCGAAAGGGCACUCGAAACUGCCCUGCUAGAGGGCCGGAGAGGUGAGUGGAAUUCCCAGUGUAGCGGUGAAAUGCGUAGAUAUUGGGAGGAACACCAGUGGCGAAGGCGGCUCACUGGACCGGAACUGACGCUGAGGCGCGAAAGCGUGGGGAGCAAACAGG